UUGCUUAACGCAUGCAAGUCGAACGAGAAGAGAUGAUUAAGCUUGCUUCUUAUCGAUUCGAGUGGCAAACGGGUGAGUAACGCGUAAGCAACCUGCCCUCUAGAUGGGGACAACAGCUGGAAACGGCUGCUAAUACCGAAUACGUUCUUUCUGUCGCAUGGCAGAGAGAAGAAAGGGAGGCUCUUCGGAGCUUUCGCUGGAGGAGGGGCUUGCGUCUGAUUAGCUAGUUGGAGGGGUAACGGCCCACCAAGGCGACGAUCAGUAGCCGGUCUGAGAGGAUGAACGGCCACAUUGGGACUGAGACACGGCCCAGACUCCUACGGGAGGCAGCAGUGGGGAAUCUUCCGCAAUGGACGAAAGUCUGACGGAGCAACGCCGCGUGAACGAUGACGGCCUUCGGGUUGUAAAGUUCUGUUAUACGGGACGAAUGGUACGACGGUCAAUACCCGUCGUAAGUGACGGUACCGUAAGAGAAAGCCACGGCUAACUACGUGCCAGCAGCCGCGGUAAUACGUAGGUGGCAAGCGUUGUCCGGAAUUAUUGGGCGUAAAGGGCGCGCAGGCGGCGUCGUAAGUCGGUCUUAAAAGUGCGGGGCUUAACCCCGUGAGGGGACCGAAACUGCGAUGCUAGAGUAUCGGAGAGGAAAGCGGAAUUCCUAGUGUAGCGGUGAAAUGCGUAGAUAUUAGGAGGAACACCAGUGGCGAAAGCGGCUUUCUGGACGACAACUGACGCUGAGGCGCGAAAGCCAGGGGAGCAAACGGGAUUAGAUACCCCGGUAGUCUUGGCCGUAAACGAUGGUUUCUAGGCGGAAGAGGUUUAGACCCGGGAAUCGUUUU
rnacentral:rRNA from 1 species